rnacentral:rRNA from 1 species
AACGCUUAACGUUGCGCGUGCAGUGGGUACGGGCUGACUAGAGUGCAGUAGGGGAGUCUGGAAUUCCUGGUGUAGCGGUGAAAUGCGCAGAUAUCAGGAGGAACACCGGUGGCGAAGGCGGGACUCUGGGCUGUAACUGACACUGAGGAGCGAAAGCAUGGGGAGCGAACAGGAUUAGAUACCCUGGUAGUCCAUGCCGUAAACGUUGGGCACUAGGUGUGGGGGACAUUCCACGUUCUCCGCGCCGUAGCCAACGCAUUAAGUGCCCCGCCUGGGGAGUACGGUCGCAAGGCUAAAACUCAAAGGAAUUGACGGGGGCCCGCACAAGCGGCGGAGCAUGCGGAUUAAUUCGAUGCAACGCGAAGAACCUUACCAAGGCUUGACAUACACCAGACCGUUCUGGAAACAGUUCCUCCCCUUUGGGGUUGGUGUACAGGUGGUGCAUGGUUGUCGUCAGCUCGUGUCGUGAGAUGUUGGGUUAAGUCCCGCAACGAGCGCAACCCUCGUUCUAUGUUGCCAGCACGUAAUGGUGGGAACUCAUAGGAGACUGCCGGGGUCAACUCGGAGGAAGGUGGGGAUGACGUCAAAUCAUCAUGCCCUUUAUGUCUUGGGCUUCACGCAUGCUACAAUGGCUGGUACAGAGAGAUGCGAGACCGCGAGGUUUUAGCGAAUCCCUUAAAGCCAGUCUCAGUUCGGAU